rnacentral:tRNA from 1 species
UGGGGUAUAGCCAAGUGGCAAGGCGUUGGUCUUUGACACCAAGAUUCAGAGGUUCGAAUCCUCUUGCCCCAA